rnacentral:ncRNA from 1 species
GGCCAAGUUUUUAAGGGCGCACGGUGGAUGCCUUGGCACCAGGAACCGAUGAAGGACGUGGGAGGCCACGAUAGUCCCCGGGGAGCCGUCAACCAGGCUUUGAUCCGGGGGUUUCCGAAUGGGGAAACCCGGCAGUCGUCAUGGGCUGUCACCCAUACCUGAACACAUAGGGUAUGUGGAGGGAACGAGGGGAAGUGAAACAUCUCAGUACCCUCAGGAAGAGAAAACAACCGUGAUUCCGGGAGUAGUGGCGAGCGAAACCGGAUGAGGCCAAACCGUAUGCGUGUGAUACCCGGCAGGGGUUGCGCAUGCGGGGUUGUGGGAUCUCUCUUCUGUCGUCUGCCGGCGACAGGGCGAGUCAGAAACCGUUGGUGUAGGCGAAGGACAUGCGAAAGGUCCGGCGUAGAGGGUAAGACCCCCGUAGCUGAAACAUCAACGGCUCGUUUGAGAGACACCCAAGUAGCACGGGGCCCGAGAAAUCCCGUGUGAAUCUGGCGGGACCACCCGCUAAGCCUAAAUAUUCCCUGGUGACCGAUAGCGGAUAGUACCGUGAGGGAAUGGUGAAAAGUACCGCGGGAGCGGAGUGAAAUAGUACCUGAAACCGUGUGCCUACAAGCCGUGGGAGCGUCGC